UACAGGGGGGCAAGCGUUGUUCGGAAUUACUGGGCGUAAAGGGUUUGUAGGUGGCCACUUAAGUCAGACGUGAAAUCCCUCAGCUUAACUGGGGAACUGCGUCUGAUACUGAGUGGCUUGAGUGCAGGAGAGGAACGCGGAAUUCCAGGUGUAGCGGUGAAAUGCGUAGAUAUCGGAAGGAACACCAGUGGCGAAAGCGGCUUCCUGGUCCAGCACCGACGUCAGGCACGAAAGCGUGGGGAGCAAACAGG
rnacentral:rRNA from 1 species